UCCCCAUAUAUGAAUGUGAUAGCAAAGAGGCUUCAUCAUCGUCCCCAGCCAGAUCCAAUGCUUCAUAUGCAUCUAAUUCCUCUUCAGGAUCAUCAGCCUCAAUGUCAACCUCACCUUCAUCAACAAUGUUUUGAUUUUCAUUUGUUUCAUCGCCUAUGACUUCUUUAUUAAUUUGCUGGUGUUCUUGAUCCAUUUUUAAGCCAUCUUUAUAAAUGCA
rnacentral:misc_RNA from 1 species